CAAGUCGAGCGAAUCGAUGGGAGCUUGCUCCCUGAGGUUAGCGGCGGACGGGUGAGUAACACGUGGGUAACCUGCCUGUAAGACUGGGAUAACUUCGGGAAACCGGAGCUAAUACCGGAUAAUUUCUUUUCUCGCAUGAGAGAAGAUGGAAAGAUGGUUUCGGCUAUCACUUACAGAUGGACCCGCGGCGCAUUAGCUAGUUGGUGAGGUAACGGCUCACCAAGGCGACGAUGCGUAGCCGACCUGAGAGGGUGAUCGGCCACACUGGGACUGAGACACGGCCCAGACUCCUACGGGAGGCAGCAGUAGGGAAUCUUCCGCAAUGGACGAAAGUCUGACGGAGCAACGCCGCGUGAGCGAAGAAGGCCUUCGGGUCGUAAAGCUCUGUUGUUAGGGAAGAACAAGUACCAGAGUAACUGCUGGUACCUUGACGGUACCUAACCAGAAAGCCACGGCUAACUACGUGCCAGCAGCCGCGGUAAUACGUAGGUGGCAAGCGUUGUCCGGAAUUAUUGGGCGUAAAGCGCGCGCAGGUGGUUCCUUAAGUCUGAUGUGAAAGCCCACGGCUCAACCGUGGAGGGUCAUUGGAAACUGGGGAACUUGAGUGCAGAAGAGGAAAGUGGAAUUCCAAGUGUAGCGGUGAAAUGCGUAGAGAUUUGGAGGAACACCAGUGGCGAAGGCGACUUUCUGGUCUGUAACUGACACUGAGGCGCGAAAGCGUGGGGAGCAAACAGGAUUAGAUACCCAGGUAGUCCACGCCGUAAACGAUGAGUGCUAAGUGUUAGAGGGUUUCCGCCCUUUAGUGCUGCAGCUAACGCAUUAAGCACUCCGCCUGGGG
rnacentral:rRNA from 1 species